AAUGCAAGAUAUAUUUUGCUUCAUUUACUGGGCUUCAAAAUUUGUUGUCCAGGAAAUAUAGAAAGACAAAAACAUACCAAAGAGAAACAAAACAACAAAUAAAUUAAAUCCCCCUAAAUCAUUUUGAAUGAACAUUUUUCUCCAAUGAUGGUUCAUUUUAUUCAUGCCAUUGCAUAGAAGUCCCAAAUAUAUUUAUUUUUAUUUGUAAAACACCCCUUCUGUUACCAUCUGAUGUUUCCAUAAGGAACAUUUUCCAUCACAGUUUUAUGUCCCUGAAACUUAAAGAUGUUUAUUUGUUCUUCCCCCUUUAUAUCCAGAAGCAAGGCUAUUUGGAAUGGAUUAGUUGAUUAGGACAUCUGACUCAGAAAAUGAGACAGCCAUGAAUUUGGCUGAGAAUUCAGAAACAUGGAUGG
rnacentral:lncRNA from 1 species